UACGUAGGGUGCGAGCGUUGUCCGGAAUUAUUGGGCGUAAAGAGCUCGUAGGCGGCGUGUCGCGUCGGAUGUGAAAGCCCGGGGCUUAACUCCGGGUCUGCAUUCGAUACGGGCAUGCUUGAGUGUGGUAGGGGAGAUCGGAAUUCCUGGUGUAGCGGUGAAAUGCGCAGAUAUCAGGAGGAACACCGGUGGCGAAGGCGGAUCUCUGGGCCAUUACUGACGCUUAGGAGCGAAAGCGUGGGGAGCGAACAGG
rnacentral:rRNA from 1 species